rnacentral:lncRNA from 1 species
AAGAAUGCAGGGUGUUUUGAUUCUGAUAUUUUAGCUGCUUUUGAUGCUGCGGUUAAAGAUGGAGUUGAUGUCAUUUCGAUUUCCAUUGGUGGUGGUGAUGGGAUUUCGGCACCUUAUUAUCUUGAUCCGAUUGCCAUCGGUGCUUAUGGCGCGGCUUCUAGAGGGGUUUUUGUCUCGUCUUCGGCUGGGAAUGACGGGCCUAAUUUAAUGUCAGUGACGAAUCUUGCUCCGUGGAUUGUUACUGUUGGUGCUGGAACAAUUGACAGGAAUUUCCCCGCAGAAGUUGUUCUUGGUAAUGGGAAGAGAUUAUCUGGUGUUUCGCUAUAUGCUGGUUUGCCAUUGAGUGG